CUAUCCAUCAGGGAAAAUAAGUUCUGAUGUUCUAUUGCAAGGUGAGAUGAUUACAAAAAAUGUAUCCUAUAUGUAAAACACACUGUGAGCGUGGGUGUGGGAGUGCGUGUGCACGCGUGGGGCGAGCAAGGCGAGUGUGUGUGUCUGCCCCGCGCCCCUCCCCCGCCUACACCUUGAUCUUAUUUGAUCGGGUCGUGACCCCCGCCCCGCCGGGCCGCCCGAAAUUUGUGACAGGUACCCUUA
ensembl:scaRNA